rnacentral:lncRNA from 1 species
CUUCUUAAUAGGCUGGUCACACCUGUGCAGGAGUCAGUCCCAGUCAGGACACAGCAUGGACAUGAGGGUCCCCGCUCAGCUCCUGGGGCUCCUGCUGCUCUGGCUCCCAGGUGCCAGAUGUGCCAUCCGGAUGACCCAGUCUCCAUUCUCCCUGUCUGCAUCUGUAGGAGACAGAGUCACCAUCACUUGCUGGGCCAGUCAGGGCAUUAGCAGUUAUUUAGCCUGGUAUCAGCAAAAACCAGCAAAAGCCCCUAAGCUCUUCAUCUAUUAUGCAUCCAGUUUGCAAAGUGGGGUCCCAUCAAGGUUCAGCGGCAGUGGAUCUGGGACGGAUUACACUCUCACCAUCAGCAGCCUGCAGCCUGAAGAUUUUGCAACUUAUUACUGUCAAC